GCAGGAGACGUGGGAUGUGAAAGGUAGUGUGACCACAGGAGACGUGGGAUGUGAAUGGUAGUGUGACUGCAGGAGACGUGGGAUAGGAAAGGUAGUGUGACUGCAGGAGACGUAGGAUGGGAAAUGUAGUGUGACUGCAGGAGACGUGGAAUGGGAAAAGUAGUGUGACUGCGGGAGACGUUGGAUGUGAAAGGUAGUGUGACUGCAGGAGACAUGGGAUUGGAAAGGUAGUGUGACUGCAGGAGACGUUGGAUGGGAAGACGUGGGAUGGGAGACGUGGGAUGGGAACGGUAGUGUGACUGCAGGAGACGUGGGAUGGGAAAGGUAGCGUGACUGCAGGAGACCUGGGAUGGGAAAGGUAGUGUGACUGCAGGAGAUGUUGGAUUGGAAAGGUAGUGUGACUGCAGGAGACGUGGGAUGGGAACGGUAGUGUGACUGCAGGAGACGUUGGAUGGGAAAGGUAGUGUUACUGCAGGAGACGUGGGAUGGGAAUGGUAGGGUGACUGCAGGAGACGUGGGAUGGGAAUGGUAGCGUGACUGCAAGAGACGUGGGAUGGGAAAGGUAGUGUGACUGCAGGAGAUGUGGGAUGGGAAAGGUAGUGUGACUGCAGGAGACGUGGGAUGGGAAAGGUAGUGUGACUGCAGGAGAUGUGGGAUGAGAAAGGUAGUGUGACUGCAGGAGACGUGGGAUAGGAAAGGUAGUGUGACUGCAGGAGACGUGGGAUAGGAAAGGUAGUGUGACUGCAGGAGACGUGGGAAGGGAAAGGUAGUGUGACUGCAGGAGACGUGGGAAGGGAAAGGUAGUGUGAUUGCAGGAGACGUGGGAUAGGAAAGGUAGUGUGACUGCAGGAGACGUGGGAAGGGAAAGGUAGUGUGACUGCAGGAGACGUGGGAAGGGAAAGGUCUCUGAUUGCAGGACAAGUGGUAUGCAGUAGACAUGGGUUGGGAAAGGUAGUGUGACUGCAGCAGAUGUACAGUACAGGACUAGUAUGAGUAAAGCACAUGGAUGGUUGAUGAAGGGACAUGAUGACAGGUGAGAGAGGACAUGCACGUACGGGAUAUACAUGGUUGAUGCUACUCUUUUUAUAAAC